rnacentral:rRNA from 1 species
UACGAAGGGGGCUAGCGUUGCUCGGAAUCACUGGGCGUAAAGCGCACGUAGGCGGCUUUCUAAGUCAGGGGUGAAAUCCUGGAGCUCAACUCCAGAACUGCCUUUGAUACUGGAGAGCUUGAGUCCGGGAGAGGUGAGUGGAACUCCGAGUGUAGAGGUGAAAUUCGUAGAUAUUCGGAAGAACACCGGUGGCGAAGGCGGCCCACUGGCUCGAUACUGACGCUGAGGUGCGAAAGCGUGGGGAGCAAACAGG